ensembl:lncRNA
UGGGGGGGGUGGCUCUUGAGUUAUUAAUAUUAUAAUAACUUCACUUUUAAUUUUUUUGUUUUUUAUAAAAAUGGACAUCAAGUGUACCGCGAUCAGAUUUUCCUCCAAAAUGUUCACCCCCCCCCCCACACCAAUUAACUGAAUGGCCCCUUCAAGUUAUGAUCCCUCCCGUCACACCAUCAACAGUGUUUUGAGUCCUGCCGUUUUAUCCCGUUUUUCACCUUUUAAUUGUUGUUCAAGUGGGUGUUAGUGCCUGAAAGUUAUCCUAAUGGGGAGUGGGAUAUGGUUUGUAUGUGUGUUUUACAGCGUGUCUGUGUUUAUCUGCAAGUGCUUUUCAUCACAACAAUAGCCCUUUAUUCCCAAAUGCCUUUUCAUUAUCAGCAGGACAGCUAAGGAACAAUGAAACAAAUAUUACUGGUUUGUCAGUGUAUGUGUGUCCAGAUUGGUUUGCAUGUAUGAAUGAGAGGUCUUUUUAGAUAUGUUGCCCUAAUCUUUGUCGGUGCCAGAGAAGAGAUGUGACACAAGAUGUCCAUUUACAUGUUGAAGCUCUAGACUGGUUCUCAGAGCUGAGAAUACAGGAGACUAUUUGCUCUGUGGGUAAACACUAAGAGGAGUUAUUGGGCCGACAGUUUGGUAGGAACUGGUGAGGUGUUCUGGGGGCUUCGGUGUGAGUUACCAUGUCCCCAAUGGCAGACUCAAAUACUAAAUCAGGCAACAUACCUCAUUUUACACUAGAAGUGUUGAAAUUGAAAGUUUCUUACGGUGUUGGUUGUGUGGAGUAAGUCCUAUGUUGACGAGAAGGGAACACCUGUGACUCAAAAAACUCCCGUUUUGUCAUUCCCCAUAUAAAAGACAGAGCAGAUGAAGACCCAUCCUGGGCAGCAGUGAGUCUAUUUAGUUCAGAGCAGACUGACUCUGCACAGUCAGAGUUGUGUGAGGAAAUUGAAAUGAUCUUGACAUGUUGUGGCUUCUGUGUUUUGAGGUAUAGCAGUAAAGAAACCAAGACUCAGUUGAAGGAGCUCUGAGUUGAAUCAGAGAUGACCGGAACGUAAGGAGUCUGGAGACUGAGUGGUGAAAGUGUAACAGGGUUUUAUGUGGAGAAAGUGUUCUAAUUGUUAGUCAUUUUUUGGUAUGAAGAUCUUAGGUACAACAGUUAAUUUUCCAGUUAGAUGUAGGAACUGGUGGGAGUGGUCUGUGUGCACGGAGGUAUUUUGGGGCAUGUUUUACCUCUGCUUUCAUCACAGGAUUCAUCUGUGUGAGUUGAGGUCUGACCUACGUGUGUCCCCACUUGCAUCCAAUCAUGUCAACUCUGUUUCAUCAAGGGGUGUGACUAAAUUUGAUUGUGUCUUACAUAGACACUUAGGCCGUGGUACGCUAGUAACUACUUCCUGAUCCUAAAAGGAAUGUAGCUUUCUGUGACUUCUCAACAGUCUAUUAUAUCCGUUGUCAGCUAAAGUACUUUCCUAUAUCUUUUUCAAGACUAAACUGUUUCCCAGAGUUGAAUUGUAUGACUGACACGCACAACUUGUUUUCUUCUUUUUUUAUUUUUUGAGGCCCUGGUCAACUCCCAUGUCAUACCACCUGAUGGUUUCACCUCUCACAUUAUCUAUUGGUUGAUCUUGUACAGUAAAUUAUUUAAUUGCAUGUUUCUUUUAAAGCAUUUACAAACAUGCUUUCAAAACUUACAAAAAUAUCUAAACAAUACGGUAUUCAGAAUGUAUUGAUAUAUUUUGUAGAUGUAAAGAUAUUCACAAUUUUUACAAAUUAACUGAAGGUAUGUAUUGGUUAAAGAUUUCCUAUAUUACAUUUGAACUCUGUAAAGAGCAGAUUUGCAUGUUGCAGUUGUCUGUCAAGUCUUCUAAGGUGAUAUGUUUGGUGAUGCCUGGACAGGGCUGUUCAUUCAAUACCUUUUGUGCCUCUUGUCCUGUUUGGUGCUGGAAGCACUACUGACUUUCUCAAGUUGAUUGUACAUUAAAAUCACAUGACAGAUUUCUUCCCUAAACCUCUGACCCCAAGAAUUACGACUGAAAUGCCACUGGGACUUGGAAGGAAUCCCUGAGGAACUUUGGGAGUUGGAAAUUGGGGACAGGAUACUGUGAUGUAAUGCAGCGAAAAUAUAAAUGCAGCAUGUGAAGAGGAAAUGUAUAUGCUGCCCUUCCACACUCAUUUCGCAUAGUCUUUUAAUAGUGCAAUCCAUGUUACUCGUUGUCAACUACCACCAUCUACAUAUUUGAAGAGGAUUGUGCUACUAAUUUGUGUCAUGAGGGAAAGUAAGGUGGUUUCGGUCAUCAAACACUAUUUUCCAUCUUCUCAAAUGGUAAAUAAAUGUUGUUGGGGCAUUGAUGACAAAUUUCUGAGUUUUAGGGCCAUGGCAGCAGCUAUGUCUUUUUAUAUGAUUCAUGGAACAACCUCCGUGAGGUGUCUGAAAUGGUACCCUUGUCCCAACACAGUAGCGCACCACUUUUAGUACUGGUCCAUUGAAGUGCCCUAGAAAGGGAAUAGGGUGCCAUUUCAGACAGACAGAUAGUUGAGGAGACAGAUAUAUAACUUCUCCAUCUGUCUUCAGCCCCACAGGGACAGUAUAGUCAUCUUGAUGACUUAGGAGAGUAUAUCUAUGUCCCACGUAACACCCUAUUAACUUUAUGGACCCUGGUCAAAAGUGGUGCACUACAUUGGCAAAAGAAUGCCAUUGGUGACACAACUGUGACUGAAAAUAGUAAUUUUAAUUGUGUAAAUAAUGAGCAGACGUUUUUAGGUGUCUCUGAAAGAGGCUGUAACAAUCCAUCAGAUUUUUCUACUUUUUCAAAGUAUCUCCUAAAUGUUAUGAGAAACAAAACGAUGAGCUAGAUGCUAAAUUGUAAAAGUAAAGGUAUAUUAAACAACAUUUUCUAGUCUUGUUGAAAUAAAGACUACAGAUAUUUAAAUGGGCUUGAAUGUUUUCAUUUCAGAUGGUUAUCAAACAAUGACUUACAUUUUCUGUUUUUAUUUUAGAAGUCAUAUUUUCUUUGAAUUGUAUGUAUUUAUUCAGGCUGUGUGCCUUGAAACUGUCUCAAUUGAAGCAAACUUGCAACUGUCUUGGCCCAUUGGAGUUUAAUACUGAAGUUAGUGCAGGGACCACAGGGACAGACUUAUUACAGCAAUGUAUAUAUAAA